rnacentral:rRNA from 1 species
UACGUAGGUGACCAGCGUUGUCCGGAUUUACUGGCGUAAGAGCGCGCAUGGCGGUCGUUCAAGUCGAGUGUGAAAGCCCCCGGCUCAACUGGGGAGGGUCACUCGAUACUGAUCGACUUGAAGGCAGGAGAGGGAAGCGGGAAUUCCGGUGUAGUGGUGAAAUGCGUAGAUAUCGGGAGGAACACCAGUGGCGAAGGCGGCUCCUGGC